UGAGGCCGAGACGAGAGAGAGCUUGGCUUAGCUCCUCGAGGGUUAUGAAACCGUAGCCGUUGUGAUCAAUUGAUAUAGCUCUGAGAAAUUAGACAAAGUUUUGACAUUUUUUUGUUUAUAAACCAGUCAAGGCAUUCUUGCUUGCCUUGAUGGGUAUAUGAACAUAGCAAUGGAGCAGACAGAGGAGUAUGUCAACGGCAAGCUCAAGAACAAAUACGGUGAUGCCUUGGCGCUUAGAGAUGAGUACUUUGCUGUUGAUGAUGAUGUGGAGCAGACAGAGGAGUACUUUGGAGCAGACAGUUGGAACAACAAUUGCAGGAGUGUAUAUUCUAGUGGGAACAGUAGCUAGACAACACACAGGACCUGCUCUUGCUGUAUCGUUCUUCAUCGCUGGAGUAGCAGCUGCUCUCUCCGCUUGUUGCUAUGCUGAGCUUGCUUCUUGUUGUCCAUCUGCUGGCAGUGCUUAUCAUUAUGCUUACAUCCUCUUGGAGAAGGGUAUGUACUAGAUAGGAUUCUAUUGUCAAGCAUUUUACUGAAACGAUGUUUAAGCUUCUUGUGGACUUAGCAUCACGUAAGCUUCUUGUGCCUUUCAUGCAUUCUUGUCAUGAUCACAGUUACACAUACUCGAUGAUUGUUGAUCUGGAAAUCUUAUUAACUCUCUGUUUCUUGUUCA